GUGCUUGCUUCGGCAGCACAUAUACUAAAAUUGGAACGAUACAGAGAAAAUUAGCAUGGCCCCUGUGUGAGGUUAGCAUGCAAAUUUUUGAAGUGUUCCAUAUUUAA